UGGAGAUGUGAUUGUUACAGAUCAGCUCAAUUAUCUAUAGUAAAGGAUUCUACAAAUUAAUGCAAGAUACAGUCACAGAAAAUAAUUAUAUUUAUAAGUACGUCUGAGUCAGUGACAACUCUACAACAGAUUUAUCCAUCGGAUCACCAGCAAUGAUGGUGAUACAUGGCUGUGUACAUUAUGCAUAUACAACUCGUCUAAACAUCAACCCAACA
rnacentral:lncRNA from 1 species